GACGAACGCUGGCGGCGUGCUUAACACAUGCAAGUCGAACGGAAAGGCCUGUCCUUCCUUGUGUUGGACGGGUACUCGAGUGGCGAACGGGUGAGUAACACGUGAGUGAUCUGCCCCCAACUUGGGUAUAAGCCUGGGAAACUGGGUCUAAUUCCCGAUAGGACUGCAGGGUGGUGCCUGUGGUGGAAAACGAUUUUCUAGUGGUUGGGGAUGAGCUCGCGGCCUAUCAGCUUGUUGGUGGGGUAAUGGCCUACCAAGGCGGCGACGGGUAGCCGGCCUGAGAGGGUGGACGGCCACAUUGGGACUGAGAUACGGCCCAGACGCCUACGGGAGGCAGCAGUGGGGAAUAUUGCACAAUGGGCGGAAGCCUGAUGCAGCGACGCCGCGUGGGGGAUGACGGCCUUCGGGUUGUAAACUCCUUUCGACCGCGAGGAAGCCGCCUGGUUGGAAGGGUGGUGACGGUAGUGGUAGAAGAAACACCGGCUAACUACGU
rnacentral:rRNA from 1 species